rnacentral:rRNA from 1 species
GACGAACGCUGGCGGCGUGCUUAACACAUGCAAGUCGAACGGAAAGGCCCUGCUUUUGUGGGGUGCUCGAGUGGCGAACGGGUGAGUAACACGUGAGUAACCUGCCCUUGACUUUGGGAUAACUUCAGGAAACUGGGGCUAAUACCGGAUAGGAGCUCCUGCUGCAUGGUGGGGGUUGGAAAGUUUCGGCGGUUGGGGAUGGACUCGCGGCUUAUCAGCUUGUUGGUGGGGUAGUGGCUUACCAAGGCUUUGACGGGUAGCCGGCCUGAGAGGGUGACCGGCCACAUUGGGACUGAGAUGAGGCCCAGACUCCUACGGGAGGCAGCAGUGGGGAAUAUUGCACAAUGGGCGGAAGCCUGAUGCAGCAAAGCAGCGUGCGGGAUGACGGCCUUCGGGUUGUAAACCGCUUUCGCCUGUGACGAAGCGUGAGUGACGGUAAUGGGUAAAGAAGCACCGGCUAACUACGUG